AAAAAGUAAUGAAAAUUCACUAAAAAUCAUAUAAUCGCUGCUCAGCUAAACACAAACAAGCAAGCAAGUGCGUGCAGAAUUUAGAGAUUGUCUUGAUUUUCUUGCAUAUAUGCACAUAUGUAUCGAAGUUUUUACGCAGCGUUUAUGCUUUUCGUGACAGAACAACACAAUUCUAAUGCAAAUCUAUAUGAAAAAUGAAAAAAG